GGAAGGAUCAUUACUGGAAGACCAACAACGCACUUGGGAAAUUUUUUUCCUAAGGGUCGACCAGCUAGAAGGGAAAAAGGAUACUUUAAAGGCCUGCAAAGGUUUUUAAAAAUGUUCUGAUCCCUCUAAAACCUAGAGACUCAUCAAUAAUAAGAUGUGGUCUCUAGGAAAAAGGUUUAAGGUAGGCUUCAAGUCAACCUGACCUUUGUGUUCCAUAGCUAGUCCAGUGAUAAGUCAUUUUUUUGGCUUUGACCUAGACCAGGCUUAGGAGCUUUAAAUAGGUAACCUAUUACAACCCAUUACGAUGGAUGUCUAGGUUCCCACCUCGAUGAAGAGCGCAGCGAAUUGCGAUAUUUAGUGUGAUUUGCAGAUUGUGCGAUACAUCGAGUACUUGAACGCAUUGCGCCUUAGCUCGUGAGGGCUAAGGCACGUUUGGAUGAGGGUCAGUUUACAUAUCGCCUUCUUGGAGACAAAAAAAAAGGGUAUUAACCUAUCCUUUUAAUUUCCUUCAUCAGGGCAACUUGUUGGUUCGUUAGGCGCCACCUAUCGACGAAUCAAUUAAAUACAAGGGAAGCCGAUAGGCAAUCAUCCUUUGGGAAGAUUACUAUCAGUGCCCUGCUAUCCUAUCUCGGCGCCUCUACGUGACUAAACUUAGAGGUAAAGAGUAGGAAAGUAGGUUCCCCUUAUAUUGAAAGAGGUAAAACUCUUUUGAUAUAUCCCCAAGGCUUUUAUGCAACUUGGGACUUACCUUAUCUUUGACCUCAUCUCAAGCGGGACCACGCCCUAAACUUAAGCAUAUUAAUCAGGGCAGGAAAGGAAACCAAACGGGACUCCCUUAGUAACUGCGAGUGAAGAGGGACCAGCCCAGGCUGAAUCCAAGACCCCAGGGUUGCGGAGUUGUGGCCUUUGACUUAGGUCUUCAGUUAGGCUCAAUCAGAGAAGUUCCCUGAAAAGGGACGCCAUAGAGGGUUAAAGCCCCGUAUCAGGAUUAGGCUUGGCGAAUCUCCUGAGUUUAGAGUCAGGCUGUUUGAGAGUACAGCCUAAAGUGGGAGGUACGCUCCUCCUAAGGCUAAGUACAGGGUGGGAAUCCGAUAGCAUACAAGUACCGCGAGGGAAAGAUGCAAAGCACUCUGAAGAGAGAGUCAAAGAGUACCUGAAAUCGUAAUGGGGGAAGCGUCUAAGAGAGUCACUAUGCAGGUUGCCUUUCACCGGGCCGAUUUGGGUGCUGCGAUAUCUAGAGGUACUUACGGGUAUCCAGGGUUUUGCAGAUGUCUUGAGUAGGCACGGGCAUUUAGGUAGCUUGCUCCUGGUUUGGGUUGCGACUUGGGGAAAUGGGCUUGUAGUAAGGUACCUGGUCUUCCAGGGAUGUCUAUGAGCUUGUACUUUCGUCUCGACCAAGGUCUCAGGGGAGAAUGGCUAGGGCCGCAAGGCAGGGUCAAUAGGGUAUCAUUGGGUUGCUUGACUUGGUUACAGCUUGCUGUGGCUGGGUUUGGUGGCUCUCUUAGCCUUAUGAUUACACCUAGCUUCAAGAAACCGGGUCACAACGAUCUUAGCCGUCCCGUCUUGAAACACGGACCAAGGAGUCUAACAUAUGCGCGAGUCUAAGGGUAGUAAACCUGAAGGCGUAAUGAAAGUAAAUUGGGUGACGCUGAGUCCUCGGACGAUGCUGCAACCCGCACCGACCUUGACCCACGAGUGAUAGGUUUGAGUGGGAGCGUAUCUGUUAGGACCCGAAAGGUAGCGAACUAUGCCCGCAUAGAGUGAAGCCAGAAGAAAUUCUGGUGGAGGUUCGUAGCGGUACUGACGUGCAAAUCGUUCGUCAAAUGUGGGUAUAGCGGCGAAAGACUAAUCGAGCUGCCUAGUAGCUGGUUCCGCC
rnacentral:misc_RNA from 1 species